CAAUCCAUGAGUAAAGCGGCGUACGGGUGAGUAACACGUGGGUAAUCUACCUUUUAGUGGGGAAUAACCCUGGGAAACCGGGGCUAAUACCGCAUAAUCCUGUAAAGGGAAAGCAGCAAUGCGCUGAAAGAGGAGCCCGCGGCCGAUUAGCUAGUUGGUGAGGUAACGGCUCACCAAGGCGGUGAUCGGUAGCCGGCCUGAGAGGGCACACGGCCACACUGGCACUGAAACACGGGCCAG
rnacentral:rRNA from 1 species